AUUGAACGCUGGCGGCACGCCUAACACAUGCAAGUCGAGCGGCAGCGCGAUAUGUAGCAAUACAUAUUGGCGGCGAGCGGCGGACGGGUGAGGAACACGUAGGAACCUACCCUCGAGUGGGGGAUAACCAAGGGAAACUUUGGCUAAUACAGCAUGAUUUCGAGAGAGCAAAGCUGCCGCAAGGUGGCGCUCGAGGAGGGGCCUGCGUCCGAUUAGCUAGUUGGUGAGGUAAGAGCCUACCAAGGCGAUGAUCGGUAACUGGUCUGAGAGGACGACCAGUCACACUGGGACUGAGACACGGCCCAGACUCCUACGGGAGGCAGCAGUGGGGAAUAUUGGACAAUGGGGGCAACCCUGAUCCAGCGAUGCCGCGUGAGUGAAGAAGGCCUUCGGGUCGUAAAGCUCUUUAGGUUGGGAAGAAGAGUGAUGGAGAAAAUGCUAUCACUUUGACGGUACCGACAGAAUAAGCACCGGCAAACUCUGUGCCAGCCGCCGCAGUAA
rnacentral:rRNA from 1 species